rnacentral:rRNA from 1 species
UACGUAGGUGGCAAGCGUUGUCCGGAUUUACUGGGCGUAAAGAGCGCGCAGGCGGUCCGAUCAGUCGAAUGUGAAAGCCCCCGGCUCAACUGGGGAGGGUCAUUCGAUACUGUCGGACUCGAAGGCAGGAGAGAGAAGCGGAAUUCCCGGUGUAGUGGUGAAAUUCGUAGAUAUUAGGAAGAACACCGGUGGCGAAGGCGGCCCACUGGCUCGACACUGACGCUGAGGUGCGAAAGCGUGGGGAGCAAACAGG